rnacentral:rRNA from 1 species
UACAGAGGUCCCAAGCGUUGUUCGGAUUUACUGGGCGUAAAGGGUGCGUAGGUGGCGGGGCAAGUCUGGUGUGAAAGCUCCGAGCUCAACUCGGAAAAGCAUUGGAAACUAUCCCGCUUGAGGGUCGGAGGGGAGACUGGAAUUCUCGGUGUAGCAGUGAAAUGCGUAGAGAUGUGGAGGAACACCGAUGGCGAAGGCAGCCUCCUGGGCCAGCACUGACGCUCAUGCACGAAAGCGUGGGGAGCAAACAGG